UAGGGAAUCUUCGGCAAUGGACGAAAGUCUGACAGAGCAACGCCGCGUGAGUGAAGAAGGUUUUCGGAUCGUAAAACUCUGUUGUUAGAGAAGAACAAGGACGUUAGUAACUGAACGUCCCCUGACGGUAUCUAACCAGAAAGCCACGGCUAACUACGUGCCAGCAGCCGCGGUAAUACGUAGGUGGCAAGCGUUGUCCGGAUUUAUUGGGCGUAAAGCGAGCGCAGGCGGUUUCUUAAGUCUGAUGUGAAAGCCCCCGGCUCAACCGGGGAGGGUCAUUGGAAACUGGGAGACUUGAGUGCAGAAGAGGAGAGUGGAAUUCCAUGUGUAGCGGUGAAAUGCGUAGAUAUAUGGAGGAACACCAGUGGCGAAGGCGGCUCUCUGGUCUGUAACUGACGCUGAGGCUCGAAAGCGUGGGGAGCAAACAGG
rnacentral:rRNA from 2 species